GCUCGUUGCCCUACCCACUCAUUUUGACGGCUCUAGAAUCGAAUUAAAGUCUCUUACUAUAAUUCACAGUUCCCUAAUCGAUUCAACAAGAGAAUUCAAAAAACCCCAUUACUUCGCGUUACUAGUUAUGGGAUAGCAUACACUACUAAACAUAAAAACUUAGAAGGUCCUUGUCUGAUACUAACCCUCAUAUGAAUCAUCUAUGGAUGCAAAUUCAGAAUGUCAAUGAAGACACUGUCACUCCAGAGAACCUACAUCCCCCAACAAAAACCUUCGCUUCAAUUCUGAAUGAAUUUGGGAACCCAGGUUUGAAAAUGAUGCCAUUCGCCCAAACACCAUUGACCUGAGUCUCAAACAAACACAUAACAUCUAAACCAAAUUCUAUUUUAUACUUAGCCACAAAAUUACAGAAAUGGAGAUGAUCAGUUCCUUGACAGAAAAAUAGUUUUGAAUAGUUUUGAAUCUAUAAAUCAAUAACUGAUAGAAAAAACAACCAAACAACCAAUCCAAGCUUCGACACUAAAAUCAACAACUAACCUUGACAUUUCUAAUAACAUCAUCAUCCAUAACCUCCACCACAAAAAAUUACAUCCUCUAUUGGGGAACAAUUCCUGGUUCCUUAUUCAAUGCCACGCACAAUGCCCUCCAUUGUUGCCAUUAGCUCCACCAUUAGGGUUCCAUCACCUUCCAACUCGCGAUCUGGCGGUUUCUUCCAUUGGAUAUCACUGUUGACACUUGUUUGCACAUCUGGAUUUGGGAACCCCAUACUCGAUUCUCCAAAGUGAAACACGUGAUCUUUUCCCCUUUGAACCUUUAGACUCCCCUUUCUUAACCACCCGAGUUGCACUAUGUUUAUUUAUGUCCAAAUUGGACUUAAAAGUAAUCAAAAC
rnacentral:lncRNA from 1 species